rnacentral:lncRNA from 1 species
UAAAAUGACGCUCGAAAAUACUUUAAUACUCUAGCGUUGAUUGGCUUUCAACAGGUACCAAAGUAUGACGUACUGUAAAGCUCUCUCAUGAUUGGUGUUUUGACAGGCAACUUAAUUGGAUGUGCAUGCCUUUCUCGUUUAGCCUCUGAUAAGGUUAUUGUUUACUUUUCUUCCUGAUUGUGUAUACUUGGUAUCUACGAAGCUGAAUUAUCACAUAUUUUCAAUUUAUUUUAUAUCACUUGUUUGUUAAUCCUAAAUUUUUGUGGCACCGAUAAGUUUUAGUUGAAUUAUCUUGCUUGCUCUUGUUGAAUCUUAUGUGGAUUUAAAUAUUAAGGAGUUUUCCACGCUCCGCAGUCUCAGUUUUGCCAGGAGACAUCGCCUACAAUGUAGUUUUUUUUUCCUUUUUUCCCAGAGCAGCUCACACUUUAGAAAUUAUGCCUCCAUACACGAAAAUUAAUGAAUUGAAAGUAGAAGAAAAACGGAGAUACACAAUCAUUAUCAUCCUCAAAUACUUUGUGAAGGCUCCAAAACUAACGCAGAAAGGCACUUACUAUCAUUCAAAAAUAGCUGUGACAGACGAAUCAGUUGCACCACAGGACUUCAAAGUUUCCAUUUUCUGCCCUCUAUCCAGGCACCCGCCAUUGCCUAUAAACAGUGUUCUCCGCAUUCGAGGAAUAAAGGUAGAAGCUUACAAAAGUAUAGUGGAUGGUAGAAUUUUCGGCUCUGAAAACAUAGAUAUCAUCAAUCCCUUUAAUCCAAUUGCCAUUCGUAAAUUGGAUGAAGCUACAAAACAGAGAUUGUCGGAGUUGGUUUCAGCUUUUCCGUACUUUUUUGAUGAUCAAGGUUAGCAUUAAAACCUAACAGGUCUUUGUUGAAUUCACAACUCAUCACAUUUGUAAGUACCUUUAUGUUCACCGUUUGUAUUGAAACUUCUUCAAAAAUUGAUGUGUCCUUUUUUUCACAUAUCAAUGGCUACAGUACGAAACCACUUAUCUCAAUUGUGUUUCAGAAUUUCCUCUCCUAUUUUAUUUUCUUCGAGAGAAACAACCAAACUUUAUAGAUGCUAUAAAAUUUACCUGUUUAAACAAGCUUUAUGAUAGAAUACAGAACAGAAUAUUCUGCUGACAGAAAAGCAAAAUCAUGGCAGUUUUCAAGAAAUUACCUGGACUUGAAUAGUUUUUCAA